rnacentral:lncRNA from 1 species
UUUGUAUUUUCCAUUUGUCUGACUUAGCUUUUCCAGGUGUCUCUUGCUGAUGCAGCUUGAAACCUCCAGUUUCCAUAGUAAUCAGCAGGGGUAACAACGUCCUGCAUAAGACAUGUCUACCACUGCAGGACCACACAGAGAUAUACGAGCUAAUUCCAUUUUCAGUAACAGCCCAUCAACAAUGGAACUGCACAUCAGCUAGUCCAAGGAGCAGGCAAUGAGCAAAUACAAUUCUCGAGCCUACUUCUUCCACUUAGGCCAAGGAAGUCUGCGCUCAUGCUUCUACCAAGGAUGGAGAAGAGGCAACAGCCUACAAGCAUCCACCCAAGAUCCAGAACAUAAAACUUUGACACACAAAACACGGACCUGUCAGACUAGUUCUAGAGCCCAAGAAGCACGCGGCAACCAUCCCUUGUGUUCACAUUCGAUGUGCUGCCCAGGAAAGAGAACUUCACUGGGGAUUUUUGAUAAACUAUUAUACUAUAACAUUUUCUGGAUAAUUGAUACCAAACGUUGCUACAAGCAGUAGGACUAUGCAACAGAUUCAGGAAAGGUACAUGAAAUACAUCCUCCAAUCCUUGUUAUUCAGCAUUCAACAUAUCUAUAAAUUAUUUAAACAUAAGAUCAGCAAUAAAUACCUUUUUGCAAGUGAUAUAUCAUCACAAGACAAGCUCCAGCCCUCCAAGUAAUGCCGAAAGCCACUUGUGCUGUGUUACUGCACCAUCACUAAGACUAUUUCCUAGAAUUAGCAGCAGAGUAUUCUGCUCACGCAGCACCUCCAGGCCUCAGCAGUGUGCCUGCUAAUGAAGCACGACGGCUUGAGGAAAUCAGCUGCCUUAGGACUGGCUCUUCCCAGCACAGCACAGGAACUCUGAUCCUAUUUACAUACAGCAGUGCCCGGUGGUAAGAGUGAUCAGCAGGAGGAACACCGGGACCUCCUUUACUUUGGGUGCAUGUGGAAGCUGAUUUGCUAUUGAGCCUUGUCUGCCUUUAUUUAGCUCACAAAGAACAGGUUUCUAUUUUCUAUUAUUAGCUUCAAUACUCUGGAGCAGCAAUACUGGUUGCUGUUCAUGUUACAUGCAAUUUUCAUGUUACAACAGAAGUGAGAGAUUGUGACGCCUGGGAUGGGAUAAUUAUGUCUGCAGUUAGCAACACCACGAGAACAGCAUUCUAAAUAAAUCCAUAGAAAGAUUAUUUAUCAUGGUACAGCCUAAAUAAAGCACAGCAGAAGAAUCCACGCUGAAAGCACUUACAAACACACCUCCCUCGGAUGGAGCUCGCUUCAGGCACGAAUGGAACAGGCUGUGUGGGACCUGCAGGAAUCCCAGCUGAUCCCCAGUCCAGGGCUUGCCCUCAACACGUCAGCGCAGACAGCUUUGGAAGAACCAAAUUUGUUUCCUACCCCUUAUAAACGAGCCCUCAAGAACGUCUACUGGGCAAAGAGGGAACACCGCUGAGAACUGGAACCAUGGCUGCUAAAAUGGGAUGGGAUGGCCUCCUCUUAACACACAACUUCUCUGCAGAGCUGAUGCCACCUGCAUUGAAGCCCACCUUUAAAAUGACAGAAGCCUAUGAUAACAUGAAU